AGCGGCGGAUGGGUAAGUAACACGUGGGGAACCUGCCCCUAAGUCUGGGAUACCAUUUGGAAACAGGUGCUAAUACCGGAUAAUAAAGCAGAUCGCAUGAUCAGCUUUUGAAAGGCGGCGUAAGCUGUCGCUAAGGGAUGGCCCCGCGGUGCAUUAGCUAGUUGGUAAGGUAACGGCUUACCAAGGCGACGAUGCAUAGCCGAGUUGAGAGACUGAUCGGCCACAUUGGGACUGAGACACGGCCCAAACUCCUACGGGAGGCAGCAGUAGGGAAUCUUCCACAAUGGACGCAAGUCUGAUGGAGCAACGCCGCGUGAGUGAAGAAGGUUUUCGGAUCGUAAAGCUCUGUUGUUGGUGAAGAAGGAUAGAGGUAGUAACUGGCCUUUAUUUGACGGUAAUCAACCAGAAAGUCACGGCUAACUACGUGCCAGCAGCCGCGGUAAUACGUAGGUGGCAAGCGUUGUCCGGAUUUAUUGGGCGUAAAGCGAGCGCAGGCGGAAAAAUAAGUCUAAUGUGAAAGCCCUCGGCUUAACCGAGGAACUGCAUCGGAAACUGUUUUUCUUGAGUGCAGAAGAGGAGAGUGGAACUCCAUGUGUAGCGGUGGAAUGCGUAGAUAUAUGGAAGAACACCAGUGGCGAAAGGCGGCCCUCUGGUCUGCAACUGACGCUGAGGCUCGAAAGCAUGGGUAGCGAACAGGAUUAGAUACCCUGGUAGUCCAUGCCGUAACGAUGAGUGCUAAGUGU
rnacentral:rRNA from 1 species